AGGACGAACGCUGGCGGCGUGCUUAACACAUGCAAGUCGAGCGGAAAGGCCCUUCGGGGUACUCGAGCGGCGAACGGGUGAGUAACACGUGAGCAAUCUGCCCUUAGCUUCGGGAUAGCUCCGGGAAACCGGAAUUAAUACCGAAUAUGACUUCGGCCGACAUCGGCUGCGGUGGAAAGUUUUUCGGCUAGGGAUGAGCUCGCGGCCUAUCAGCUUGUUGGUGGGGUAAUGGCCUACCAAGGCGACGACGGGUA
rnacentral:rRNA from 1 species